GCCUUUGCCUCCAAUUUCUAGGUUAUUUUCUUGGUUGCUUUUCUCUUUGAGCCGUGUUUUCCCUUCACUUUUGCCCUCAUCUUAACUUUUUUUUUUUUUUUGGUUCAUGUCAUCAUGGAGUUUGCCUGGCUGCAGAACUGUCACAGCGCUCCCUCUUGUGGCUGCAACAAGGAAGCAGAACUGUCACAGCGCUCCCUCUUGUGGCUGCAACAUGGAAAGCAAGCAAGCAAACUGGCCCUUGCUUCAGUGACAACUCCCUGAACUGAUUUUAUGUCAAUAUGGAAAACACAACUUCCACCACUGAGCUCUGGGGGCAUGUUUCAUGCUCCACAGGUAGAUCAUGUGUGAACUUAGACCAUCACUGCUUUUUUAACUGUAAGAAAAGAGGCCAAGGUUCAGGGGCUGUCUCAUUCCACUGAGAAAAUAUUCCCAAAGCAAAUGCGGGGUAGCUUUCCCUACCUACGUCUGCCAUGACUCUCUGUACCAUGGCUGCAGAGGACUUGUGUUUAGGUCAAUAAAUGCCACUCCUCUAUUCUGGUCUUGUCUCCC
rnacentral:lncRNA from 1 species